AACAGAGAGCAAAACUUCAAGACAGGAAAUCUGUUUAGGGAAGAUCAUCUCAGUCACACCAAAUAACAGCAGGAAUCUGUUCGGGGCAUUUGGAGAUGGCAGUCAUCAGAGAAGUCACGGGGUUUUGUGUGUGGAGAAACACCUUAAUGAAACGUUGACUCCUGGCUGUUUCUUUUGGAGAAACACAUCGGCUG